UACGAAGGUGGCAAGCGUUGUUCGGAUUUACUGGGCGUACAGGGAGCGUAGGCGGUUCGGUAAGCCCUCUGUGAAAUCUCCAGGCUUAACCUGGAACAGUCGGAGGGGACUGCUGGGCUAGAGGACGGGAGAGGAGCCGGCGGAAUUCCCGGUGUAGCGGUGAAAUGCGUAGAGAUCGGGAGGAAGGCCGGUGGCGAAGGCGGCGCUCGUGGAACGUUUCGUGAGCGCUGAGGCUCG
rnacentral:rRNA from 1 species